rnacentral:rRNA from 1 species
CGUUUAACGCUCGUAGUCAGAUGACAAAAAUGAUUUAUAUUUGUGUUUUUUAAAAUAUUAAGUGUAAAUUAUUUUUUAUUUGCAGGAACUAAUCGUGAACUUUUAUGUUUAGGGUUAGUCACUUGCAAGGCGUGCCUUGAAUAAAGCAAAGUGCUCAAAGCAAGCGUAACGCUAGAAUGUAAUAGCAUGGAACGAACAGUGUUGAUUCUGAUUUAGUUAGUUGGUUUAAUUAUGCAAAUUGUUAUAAUUUACAUUAUUUUAAUAAUGUACUAAAUCGGGUCCUGGUUAAAAGGGACACUUGAGGAUGUUAGUAUUUAGUGGCGAGAGGUGAA